UAAUACGGAGGGUGCAAGCAUUGAUCGGAAUUACUGGGCGUAAAGGGCGCGCAGGCGGUUAGGAAAGUCAGAUGUGAAAUUCCGGGGCUCAACCCCGGAGCUGCAUUUGAAACUUCCUUUCUAGAGUUCAGUUAGGGAAAACGGAAUUCCACGUGUAGCGGUGAAAUGCGUAGAUAUGUGGAAGAACACCAGUGGUGAAGACGGUUUUCUGGGCUGAUACUGACGCUGAGGCGCGAAAGCAAGGGGAGCAAACAGGAUUAGAUACCCUGGUAGUCCUUGCCUUAAACGAUGCAUACUAGGUGUAGGGGGGCUCAACCCUUUCUGUACCGGAGCUAACGCAUUAAGUAUGCCGCCUGGGGAGUACGCUCGCAAGGGUG
rnacentral:rRNA from 1 species